rfam:TPA: Bos taurus chromosome 5, whole genome shotgun sequence.
UCCCUCAUAGCUUAGUCAGUAAAGAGCCUGCCUGCAAUGCAGGAGACUCAGGUUUGAUUCCUGGGUCGGGAA